rnacentral:rRNA from 1 species
UAUACUGUGAAACUGCGAAUGGCUCAUUAAAUCAGUUAUCGUUUAUUUGAUAGUACCUUACUACUUGGAUAACCGUGGUAAUUCUAGAGCUAAUACAUGCUAAAAACCCCGACUUUUGAAGGGGUGUAUUUAUUAGAUAAAAAACCAAUGCCCUUCGGGGCUCCUUGGUGAUUCAUAAUAACUAAACGAAUCGCAUGGCCUUGCGCCGGCGAUGGUUCAUUCAAAUUUCUGCCCUAUCAACUUUCGAUGGUAGGAUAGUGGCCUACCAUGGUUUCAACGGGUAACGGGGAAUUAGGGUUCUAUUCCGGAGAGGGAGCCUGAGAAACGGCUACCACAUCCAAGGAAGGCAGCAGGCGCGCAAAUUACCCAAUCCCGACACGGGGAGGUAGUGACAAUAAAUACUGAUACAGGGCUCUUAUGGGUCUUGUAAUUGGAAUGAGUACAAUUUAAAUCCCUUAACGAGGAACAAUUGGAGGGCAAGUCUGGUGCCAGCAGCCGCGGUAAUUCCAGCUCCAAUAGCGUAUAUUAAAGUUGUUGCAGUUAAAAAAGCUCGUAGUUGAACCUUGGGCCUGGCUGGUCGGUCCGCCUCACCGCGUGUACUGAUCCGGCCGGGCCUUUCCUUCUGGCUAGCCGCAUGCCCUUCACUGGGUGUGUUGGUGAACCAGGACUUUUACUUUGAAAAAAUUAGAGUGUUCAAAGCAGGCCUUUGCUCGAAUACAUUAGCAUGGAAUAAUAGAAUAGGACGUGUGGUUCUAUUUUGUUGGUUUCUAGGACCGCCGUAAUGAUUAAUAGGGAUAGUCGGGGGUAUCAGUAUUCAAUUGUCAGAGGUGAAAUUCUUAGAUUUAUUGAAGACUAACUACUGCGAAAGCAUUUACCAAGGAUGUUUUCAUUAAUCAGUGAACGAAAGUUAGGGGAUCGAAGACGAUCAGAUACCGUCGUAGUCUUAACCGUAAACUAUGCCGACUAGGGAUCGGGUGAUGUUAUUAUUUUGACUCGCUCGGCACCUUACGAGAAAUCAAAGUC